rnacentral:lncRNA from 10 species
GCAAUCUCGGCUCACUGCAACCUUUGCCUCCUGGAUUCAAGCAAUUCUCCUGUCUCAGCCUCUCUAGUAGCUAGGAUUACAGAUGCGCACCACUAGAGAAUUUCAGUAAGUCACCAACAGUCAUGCAGCUGUGUUCCUAACCAACUUGGAAUACACUACCAUGUUAACCGGGUACUGUGACAUGCCCCUGUAAUCUGAGUUAUUUGGGAGGGUGUGUUUUGUCCAAUUCUUUGUUCAAAACACUGAGGACCCGGACAACUCACACUCAAGGCCCUCCAUCUGGUAACAGAAUAGUUGUGAUAGAUACCAUGUGGCCCGCAAAGCCUAAAAUAUUUCCUUUCUGUCCCUUACAGAAAAGGUUUGCCAGUCCCUGGUAUAGAUAAUUCAAAAGCAUCCACUGAGCAGACUCCCUCAGGGAGCCCAGGAAGUCCUUGGUCUUAAGGCCUGGUGGAGACAUGAGCUUUUGCCAUCGCAUGUUUUGUUUUAUAGGAAAUAAAGGAUCAUCUAGGCUUUGAGCCCUGGAGAUUUGGGGAACAGGACAGGAGCUGGAUAGGGAUGAUAUUUACCAGCAGGGGGCAGGUUCUCAACAGAAACUGAAUUUGCUGUCAUCUUGAUGAUGGACUUCCAGCAACCUCUGCCUCCCGGGUUCAAGUGAUUCUCCUGCCUCAGCCUCCUGAGUAGCUGGGAUUACAGGCACGUGCCACCAUGGCCAGCUACCUUUUUCUAUUUUUAAAGUAGAGAUGGAGUUUCACCAUGUUGGCCAGGCUGGUCUCGAACUCCUGACCUCAGGUGAUCCAUCUGCCUCGGCCUCCCAGAAUACAACAACUAUUUAUUGAGCUCACAGCUCUGUGGGAUGGCAGUUUGGGGUAGGUUCAUGUGGGCAGUUCUGCGAUUUCGCCAAGUUUGGUUUAUCUCAGCUGGAACUCACUCGUACAUCUGAAGUUGGCUGCUGGAUGGGCACAGGGCUUUCUGAUGUCAGCUGGGGCACCUUCCUUUUCUCUGCAGGGUCUCUCAUCAUCCAACAGGCUAGCAUGGGCUUGUUCUCAUGGUGAUGGGUCUGACCAAGAGCAGUGAGAGGGCAAGGCCAAUGAGCAAGCACUUUUCAAGUUUCUGCUUGCAUAAUGUUUGCUGCUGUCUCAUUGGCUAGAGCAAGUCACAUGGCCAAGUCUGGCGUUCUUGUCAGAGUCAUUAAACAAAAUCAGAGCCGUUCCUGCAAGCUGUGCACAGCACCAGGGAACAGCUGACAAGGAGCCCAAUGUUUCCAUCCAAACAUACCUCAGAGCAGGGAAAAUGGCUCCUGUUAUCCUAAAAGAAAUCGUGGCUCCAUUUUGCUGCUCCUCAACAAUGUCAUGUGUGAACCUCUGAUCCCUUUGGUGGGAAUGGUGAUAAUAAAAAUAAUGAUUAGUGACAUUGAUA